rnacentral:lncRNA from 1 species
GCUUGCACCCGAUGACCGAACCCUUUCUACCAGCCGGAGCAUGGUCCUCAGGGUUUGGUGACGUCACCAACGCCUGCCUAUGGUCUUACGGAUUUUGUUAAACUUCCCCCAAGCGUCGGAAAAAGGUGAUCUCACUUUCCUGCGUACCGAAACUCGGAAGGUGUGUCAAUGUCGAUCCAUAUUAAACGUCGACUCUGCAGUGAUUCAUGAGCAAAGUUUAAAUGUCUCGUAUGCGUUUCUGUGUCUGGAAAUGCCACCUGGGGCUAUGUUGCCUUCUAAAGGACAGUUUAGAUGGUGUUAGACUUAUGAGGCUGAAUUCAGACAGCUUUUCCAUGUAUAAAUAUGGCUUACUCUUGGUCAUCAUUUCGAUAGCAAUA